rnacentral:lncRNA from 10 species
ACCGGGACCCGGGCGCCCCGCGCCCAGUUGGAGAAGAGGACCUGAGCAACUGAAAUCCUCCCACCAACAACGCGCUCCUUCUCCCCGGACCCCACAAGGCGGAAAGGUCUCCUCGCUAGGCCACAUUGUAAAACCAGCCCCGGUCCACGGCCUCCACGCCCCGCCAUGCCCCACCCCAGCCCCUCAGAAGUGCGGACAGAGAGGCGGGGCGGGGCUGAGAUUCCGGACUAGGGGAAACCUCACCUGUGGCCAGUCCGCUCGCUUUCCCCGGCCCCCACCCCCCCUCCUUUCCCUGGGGCUUAGAGUCUAUGGGCCGGGCCCUUAGAGCCCCCGCCUCCCCCAACAGCCCUCCCAGCCGUGGGCGGGAGUGCAAUGCGAACCAGAUGGGGCUAGGAGAAACCAAAGGGGGAGACGGUGGUGGGUUGCAGAGGCGGGGGCUAAGCUCCUUCAAGGCGCUCCUCCUUCCAGCUCCGCCGCAGGAAGUCACGUCGUAGGCUCCCGACCUCUUACUCAUCUUCCACUAGACUCUCGGGCGAGGUCCCUAAUAGACGGCCCCAGGAAGGGUAUCGUCUUUGUCACACAAAAUUCCCAGGCAGGGCCUCAUCCUCAGCAAACAGAGGACAAGUGGAGGAAUCCCUGCCUGACCUACGCGCUGACAAAAGCCGACGCGUCUAAUCAACACGCGCACCUAAGUGGUGGCGUGCAGCAUAACCCUCCCAUUCCUGUUUCCCAAACUUUCCAGGCUAGCAUGGAGGCCUGGGUUUCUGAGAGCGACCCCCUCAGAUUAUUCCAUUGGGGCUGAGGAGGGGCGCGGGGAUAUCUAGGAGAUCCCUGCAGAGCCCCACGCUCUCAGGCCCGCCUUAAGUGCACACUAUACGGGAGUCAGAUGCACGCACAGGAGAAGCCGCACAGCCCAGCCUUCGCUAACUUUUCCCGGCUCACUGCUAACAUUCACACGUCCAGCACCACAAGGCCUGAGUAUGGGCAACGGGCGUCCCCGUAGUUGUUUAGGCGCGUGUGCACGUCCGUGCGCUUCUGUGUCUUUGUGUACUUGUGCGUGGUUGUGAAACUCCUCUCUCAGCUCGGAGGGGUGGGGGAGAGAAGGAAUGUCGCCGGCGGGGCGCUCACGUGGGUACGUGGGCGCCAAGAGGGCCGGCUGUGCAUCCGGCGUGGGCGGCACAGAACGACCUCGCCCCGCCCGCUGGGUCCCCAAGCCCGCCCUGCACAGCCGGGCCUCGGUCACCUCGGUCCCCAAUUCGGCGCCCCGGCUCUGAAUCCC